rnacentral:rRNA from 1 species
AUUGAACGCUGGCGGCAGGCCUAACACAUGCAAGUCGAACGGUAACAGGAAGAAGCUUGUCUUUUUGCUUACGAGUGGCGGACGGGAGUGUAAUGUCUGGGACACUGCCUGAUGGCUGGGGUUAAUUCCUGGAAACGGUAGCUAAUACCGCUUAACGUUGCAACCCCAUAGAGCGGGACCUUCGGGCCUCUUGCCUUCGGAUUUGCCCAGAUGGGAUUAGCUAGUAGGUGGGGUAACGGCUCACCUAGGCGACGAUCCCUAGCUGGUCUGAGAGGGUGACCGGCCACACUGGAACUGAGACACGGUCCAGACUCCUACGGGAGGCAGCAGUAGGGAAUAUUGCACAAUGGGCGCAAGCCUGAUGCAGCCAUGCCGCGUGUAUGAAGAAGGCCUUCGGGUUGUAAAAUACUUUCAGCGGGGAGGAAGGGAGGAAAGUUAAUACCUGUGCUCAUUGACGUUACCCGCAGAAGAAGCACCGGCUAACUCCGUG